rnacentral:rRNA from 1 species
AGAGUUUGAUCCUGGCUCAGGACGAACGCUGGCGGCGUGCUUAACACAUGCAAGUCGAACGAUGAAGCUCCUGCUUGCAGGGGUGGAUUAGUGGCGAACGGGUGAGUAACACGUGAGUAACCUGCCCCUGACUGUGGGAUAAGCCCGGGAAACUGGGUCUAAUACCGCAUAUGACACCUGGCCGCAUGGUCUGGGUGUGGAAAGUUUUUCGGUUGGGGAUGGGCUCGCGGCCUAUCAGCUUGUUGGUGGGGUAAUGGCCUACCAAGGCGACGACGGGUAGCCGGCCUGAGAGGGCGACCGGCCACACUGGGACUGAGACACGGCCCAGACUCCUACGGGAGGCAGCAGUGGGGAAUAUUGCACAAUGGGGGAAACCCUGAUGCAGCGACGCCGCGUGAGGGAUGACGGCCUUCGGGUUGUAAACCUCUUUCAGUAGGGAAGAAGCCUUCGGGUGACGGUACCUGCAGAAGAAGUACCGGCUAACUACGUGCCAGCAGCCGCGGUAAUACGUAGGGUACAAGCGUUGUCCGGAAUUAUUGGGCGUAAAGAGCUCGUAGGCGGUUCGUCGCGUCUGCUGUGGAAACGCAAGGCUCAACCUUGCGCGUGCAGUGGGUACGGGCGGACUAGAGUGCAGUAGGGGAGUCUGGAAUUCCUGGUGUAGCGGUGAAAUGCGCAGAUAUCAGGAGGAACACCGGUGGCGAAGGCGGGACUCUGGGCUGUAACUGACGCUGAGGAGCGAAAGCAUGGGGAGCGAACAGGAUUAGAUACCCUGGUAGUCC